rnacentral:snoRNA from 1 species
CCCUUCGCAGGAUGGCACCUGGAGAGUUUCCAGUCCUCUACCAGUCUCGGUUAUGGGAGGGAGAGUCAAGCAGAGGCAUAUCCAUUCCAUUCCUAGCUUGGGCAGUGGCUAGCGAGUGGAAGGUAAUCUCCUACAAGU